GAAAUACUCCCUCCGUCCUAAAAUAAGUGUCUCAACUUUGUACUAACGUUAGUACAAAGUUGUACUAAGCUUGAGACACUUAUUUUGGGACGGAGGGAGUAGAAA
rnacentral:pre_miRNA from 1 species